AAUUUAAACCUCGGAGCACAGGGCUGGAGGCAGAGCCAGAGAGAGAGAGGAAGCAGGAGGGUGCAGAGAACAGUGUGGAUAGAAAGAGAAACUUACAAGAGAAAGGAGAAUGGUGAAUCUGCUGCACAGCAUGAAAUACUCCUUCAUGGUGACAACCCUGAGCCUCCUGCCACUGCUGGACUACAUCAGAGGACAAGAGAGCUGCCAGGCUUUGCCAAAAGAACCCAGGGGGGAUACUGACACCAGCUGCUGUGACAUCGGCCUGACCGAUGGAAGUUUACCAAUACAACUGGAGUCAGCCAACAAAAUCACAAGCAUUCCCUCCACGUGUGAUGAGCUGCAGCAGGAGGACAACGCCUUCUGCAAAUGUGUGAUGGACAAGAUCCACAGCUUUUGGCCUGCCUUCGAGGAGUACCUCACCAGGGAGGAUGUGAGUGAGAGCGUCCUAGACAUAAACAGGGUGAAGGCGCGGGUCCAGAAUGUGAGCACCUCCAUCACCCACGAUCUCACCUUCACGCUCACACCGAAUGAGGUCCCCAAGGAGCUAGACACAAGUGUGAAGGGGAACGUGAGCAACAUAAAACUCCCCAGGGGACUAUUUCAGUCCAUUCACAAUGAGACAGACUACGUCAAAGUGGCAGUGCUGGUGCUUGACGUUGGAAAAGUGGGCCUGUUUAAGGACCCAGACCAGACAGGCACCAUGCUAGACAAUGUCAUGGUCAGUGUGAAAGUGGGAGGCAGGCAAAUUGCUGGACUCAGCGACUGUGUAGAACUCACCUUCUCCCAUGGACGACUGCCCCAGAAUGUGUCCGGUCAGUGCGUCUUCUGGGACACCAAGAAAGGCAAGCGUGGAGGAUGGAACACAUCUGGCUGCGUCACCACACUCAGAGACAAGGAGACCGUGUGCUGCUGUGAUCACCUGACCUUCUUCACCCUCUUAAUGAGUCCAUCCCUAGACGUCACAGUCCAGAUGUUAUUAACUAUCGCAAACGUUGGCUGUGGGAUUUCCGUGGUCUUCUCAGCCCUCACCAUCAUCCUGUACUUUGCUCUAAGGUUCGCUUACAAAAAAUUCAAGUCCAAUGACACGGCCAAGAUUCACGUGAACCUCACAAGCAGCCUGCUCCUCCUGAACCUGGCCUAUUUGCUGAACAGAUGGAUCUUCAGCCUGGGCCAUCUGGGGCUAUGCAAGGGCAUCGGAGGCUUCACUCACUACUGCCUGCUCUGCUCUUUCACCUGGAUGGCCAUUGAGGCCUUUCAACUCUACCUGCUGGUCAUCAAAGUCACCAACAUCUACAUGCGGCACUACAUGGUGAAGCUGUGCCUCGUUGGCUGGGGCUUCCCUGCUCUCGUGGUCACGAUCACUGGCAGCAUGAACAGCUAUGGAAAAUACACCAUUACGGAUAUGGCCAACCAGCCCACCCUCACCCUGUGCUGGAUAGACUCCGCUCACUUGGUCGUCCAUUACGUCACCAACUGCAGCUACUUCGGCCUGAUCCUCCUCUUCAACACCCUGAUCCUUGUGGUUGUAGCCUGGAAGCUGUUCUGCCUGCAGCGCGCCACAGCAGGGAAGGAGGAGAAAAUAGAGGCCUGGAAGGGGGGCCUCACGGUGCUAGGCCUCUCCUGCCUCCUGGGAGCCACCUGGGGGCUGGCCUUCUUCACCUACGGCGCCACAUCCGUGCCUGCGGUCUACCUCUUCACUGUCCUGAACUCUCUCCAAGGUCUCUUCAUAUUCAUCUGGUUCACUAUCCUCUACUAUCCAAAGAAAGAUGCAGCCACAUCCACCUCCGGCAAUGGCAAAAAUGUGGAAGUCACCACCGCUUCCCAUGGCGAGCGGUAACACCAACUUCUCUUCCGGGCAGAGGGGGCAGGAUCAGAGGAAUUUGCCCAGUCCACGUGGGUGAACCGUGGCACAGAGAAGUCAAGUUAUUAGACCAAAGCUACCUAGCUACGGCUCAGUUUACCUCACUGUGAAAUUGGUCUGCCAUAAGAGAACCUCUUCACUGGGGCCUUGAUUACCUGAAGACAGAGCCUAGAGCACUAGCAUCUCCCAUAUUGCAGCUAGAACCCUUCAGCCAAUGUCCCUGCAGAUCAUCACAGCUUUCUUGUGGUCUCAGACAUGCUCCUUAGUCACUUAGGCCAAGAUCUGCAAAGGUAUUUAAGCACCUUACUCCCAUUGGACUUGACUUCUAAGAAGCUUCUGAGAGAGAAGAGGAAUGAGAUCUGAACAGAGACUUCUGGGCUGGAUUCAAGCUCUGUAGCAGCCCCAGUUUUGCCCCUUUAGUUAAGGCAGAAGAGUACCAGGGGUUAGGAAUGGAGCCAAUAGGAAAAUCUUUCACAUUUCCCCCAUCCUGCUGAGUUUGGAGUCACUACAGGUUCAUGGACGGAGUUUAACUGAGCUACAGCACAAUCCAAUGAGAGGAUUCCAUUCCCCCUCUCGCUACAUAUUAACGGGGAAGAAAUUGGCUCCCAGGAACAAUUCCUGUUUAGCAGAUUCCAAUAAAUACAGACAGGCAGAAUGAUGCCCACAUCUCA